rnacentral:rRNA from 1 species
AGCUCCAAUAGCGUAUAUUAAUGUUGUUGCAGUUAAAAAGCUCGUAGUUGGAUUUGUGGACUGGGCCGUCGGUCCGACACUUUUGUGUGGGUACCAGACGUUUCGGUUCAUCCUUGGGUGGAAUCUGUGUGGCAUUAGGUUGUCGUGCAGGGGAUACCCAUCAUUUACUGUGAGAAAAUUAGAGUGUUCAAAGCAGGCUUAUGCCGUUGAAUAUGUUAGCAUGGAAUAAUAAGAUAGGACUUUGGUACUAUUUUGUUGGUUUGCGCACCGAAGUAAUGAUUAAUAGGGACAGUUGGGGGUAUUCGUAUUCCAUUGUCAGAGGUGAAAUUCUUGGAUUUUUGGAAGACGAACUACUGCGAAAGCAUUUACCAAGGAUGUUUUCAUUAAUCAAGAACGAAAG